rnacentral:rRNA from 1 species
ACGGGAGGCAGCAGUGGGGAAUAUUGCACAAUGGGGGAAACCCUGAUGCAGCGACGCCGCGUGAAGGAAGAAGUAUCUCGGUAUGUAAACUUCUAUCAGCAGGGAAGAUAGUGACGGUACCUGACUAAGAAGCCCCGGCUAACUACGUGCCAGCAGCCGCGGUAAUACGUAGGUGGCAAGCGUUAUCCGGAUUUACUGGGUGUAAAGGGCGCGUAGGCGGGGAUGCAAGUCAGAUGUGAAAUCCAUGGGCUCAACCCAUGAACUGCAUUUGAAACUGUAUCUCUUGAGUGUCGGAGAGGUAGACGGAAUUCCUAGUGUAGCGGUGAAAUGCGUAGAUAUUAGGAGGAACACCAGUGGCGAAGGCGGUCUACUGGACGAUAACUGACGCUGAGGCGCGAAAGCGUGGGGAGCAAACAGGAUUAGAUACCCUGGUA